rnacentral:lncRNA from 1 species
CGUUUUUAUAGAUAUAUCUAUCAUGGUCUACAGCGCUGGACACAUUGCAGGCGGUGUUAUCUCGAUAUCUCAAUAGCAUGAUCUCGAAUCCCGGGGAGGGAAGAUCAAAAACUAGCAUCCGCAAUUGUUUUGCAGAUUUAACAUUAUUUCGCUGAUAUUUAAAGAAAUUCGCCCUACUCCUUUAACAUGAAUAUCCGUAGAUAGUAUCCAACAACCGUGUAAAGUUUAAUCAAUAUCCGUCUGAGUGUCCCCUACAUGAUACAUGCAAUUGAGGAUAGAACAACGCGAUGAUUAUAUAUAUCCACAAAUUUGUUUUGCACAAUGUCCGUGACUGAGAAAGAUUUAUUCGGUAAACUUAAAUAAAUAAAAAAAAAUAUAUAACAUUCAAGAAAUGAAAGUAUUCAUGCAUAUAUAAGCCACACCA